UCUCAUCUGGAGAUGGCUGUAGUGGGCAGGCUGUUUUGGCUCUGCUUCUACAGACCUAUGCAGCAGGUUUUGUAUUGGGUUCAACCUACAGGCCAAUAGAUGACAUUUGCAGGUGAAGAGCUGGAUAGUGGGGUUCCUGGUGUUCCGUGGAAGAGGCCGGACACAAUUGGGCAGAGCUGGAGCCUCUGGCUUGCCCAUGUGUAUCCCAAUGGCAAGCACAGGCACCAGCCCUGAAAAGGGUGGCUGGGAGAUGCUCUUAGGGACAUGCCCCAGAGAUCUCUGUGUGGGGCAGAGUGAGGAGGCUUCACUGGCUCCCGCAUGGUAGACAGACAUGAACAGAAUCUAUUUCCCUAUCACACCCAUUGCAGGUACUUCAGAUGCACACUGUAGUCUAUCUCCAGACCACAGUGUGGUUGAUUGAAAGCCUCAGGAAACCUUGUUUUCCAGAAGAAAAUAAACUUGAUGUUUUCUUUGGGCCUAUCAUUAUCAUCACUAUGA
rnacentral:lncRNA from 1 species